UAAAGCUCAUAGGCUUCAGUAUAUAGAGCAUUUACGGAAAAUUAAAUAUUUUCGUAGGGGUUAACCAAUAGAUUUUGAAUAAAAUUCAAAAAAAAUGAAAAUUAUAUUUUAAUGCAUAGUUGCAUCAUUCACUAACAUAUGAUGAAUGUCAAAUAGGUUUGGAACCUUUGUUGUCUCCGUUUUUCUAGAGAAUAGCGAUUUUAUAGUAGUUAGUCCACCAAUUUAGGGAAGUAUUAUGAAGUUUUACUAAAUUAAUUGACAAAAAAAUUUAAACGAUGUCCAUGUACCAUGAAAGAGAGUUUGAUAUACAUUAAUACAAAUGUGGAAUGUGUUUAGAAAUUUUAGAACAACACUAAAGCUCAUAUGCUUCAGCAUAUCGAGCAUUUACGGAAAGAUAAAUAUUUUCGUAGGGGUUAACUCAUAGAUUUUGACAAAAAUUCAAAAAAAUAAAAAUUCUAUUUUAAUGCAUAGUUGCAUCAUUCACUAACAUAUGAUGAAGGUCAAAUAGGUUUGGAACCAUUGUUGUCUCCGUUUUUCUAGAGAAUAGCGAUUUUAUAGGGUUUAGUCAACCAAUUUAUGGAGUAUUA